GCAGAACUGGCGAUGCGG
rnacentral:snRNA from 1 species